rnacentral:lncRNA from 1 species
GGGCAUGAGAGGAAUUUCACAACACCAGAACACGUGUGGUCUUUUUUCCCUGCCACCAUACAUAGAUUCAUCCUCUCAAACCUCAUCACAGAGAAAAAAACCAGAGAAUUAGAAUGAACUGAAAAUGUGAGAAAGAUAAGAGGGUGAGUGAAGCAGCGGCGAGCCAUCUACGGAAACGGAAAUGACGGUGGUACCGAGGUUUUCGGUCAUCGCAGCGGUGGUCAACAGUCGCACCAGGUGGUGGCUAGGGUUUCAGUUUCCGUUUCAGGCAUUAUCAGCAGCAGAAACCAAUGGUGAAGGCGGUUAGGGUAUCACCACAGUGAUGAAGAUGGCUUCAAGAAGCUCCGGCGAGAUACCUAGGGUUCCGGUCAUAUUCCGGCGAAUUCCCCGCAGAAGGAUUAAAGCUUGCAUGUUCCAUUUUCAUGUAGAUUGGUGACCGAUUCGUCUGAAAUCAUUCCGAGACAUGUUUUUAUGGCUUCCAGUGAUGCUCUUAUGCACCUAUACGUAAUAAUCAUAGAUCAUUUUGGGCAACUUUCCGUUUGAAAUUGUUUCAUAUUCCGUAACAUUGGUAAUCCCAUCUUUAACUAGAAGCAAACUUAUUGAACAACUUAUAAGAACCGACAAGUGGUUUCUGACCCGUAAUCGGCGACAACGUUCAUUCUUCAGCUAAGAUCCGUUGGUGAGCCUUUCUCACAGCCAUUAACUAAGGGGGGGAUAGUGCACGGUCCUCCCAACCGCCGCAGUGUUAUCACUCCGCAAGCUAGCCACCCAGCAAGGCCAUCUGGCGGUAAAUCUCCUACUGUAGGGGCUUUUUGGACUGAGGACCUGACUCGAACCCGCCACCUCCGGGUUAGAAAGGAGGCUGGUGGCCACUGGGACACCCCCAUUCGGAAACGAUUUUCUAUAGUUGAAAUGUUUAUGUGGAAAGUAGGUGCGAAUUGAGUACUUUGGGAUGGGAUUGUAUAACUUGGUUUGUUAAAAUGUUCAUAUAUGUAGAAAUUUGGCGUCGAAUGGGUACUUUGGAGUGGGAUUGUAUAACAUGGUUUGUAUAGCUUGUAGGUAAACUAAUCAAUCACUUAUGUACUAAUGUGCAUUUUAUCAGCAUGCAAAAUUAGGGGAUCGGAUCUCAGGUGCAGUUUUAAGGAAGCUUCUAUCCUUUUACUUGAUGAAUAAGAGAGACAACAAAGAGAAAGGCAGUCCUUAAUGAGAGACUCAGGCGCGUGCAGACUAUCUAGCCAUAAAAAAAUGUCAAUGACGAAGCUUUCCAUGGUGCUAUCGGUUGGAGUGUACAGGAAGUGGUGGUGAUGCAGACGCAGCUCUGAUGAAUUGUGGUGUUGAAACAAGGUCGAAACAAAACGAAAGGGGACAAUGACGACAUGGUGACAGUUUAGAAACCAUAGCCGUGAACUUAGCCGGCUAGGGUUUUUAUCAAAAAUCCAGUGACCCCUUCGAGCUGCGUGUCUCAUUUCGAAGCUAGGAACUACGAGGUAAAGAUUGUCAAAUCUGAGAGAUUAGGAGGCUGUAUUAUGAAACUGGUGACUCGACUUCUGACUCGCCAGGCAUUUUCAUGUCUGAUUCACUAACUCAACUCGGAAUUGCUUCCACAUUACAAAUGGGAGUAGAAACAUAAGACAUAGAAAAGCGAUGGUCUUUAGUAGAUAAACAUAUUUAUGGUCUCAAAAGUGAAAAAAAAAAGUCGGAGUAAGCUUUGUAAGUUAAAACUUCUGGGAAUGUUGUAAUGUUGCUGUAAUCAUCUUCUCCAAGCCAUUGUUGAAGCCUUUGCUGUCUCAAGUAAACUUUGUUUUUAAUGGUUCUUUAAUUUUUGUUUUUCAACUCAAAUU